UACGGAGGGUGCAAGCGUUAUCCGGAUUUACUGGGUUUAAAGGGUGCGUAGGCGGCUUUUUUAAGUCAGUGGUGAAAGACAACAGCUCAACUGUUGCAGUGCCAUUGAUACUGAAGAGCUUGAGUACAGAUGAGGUAGGCGGAAUUUAUGGUGUAGCGGUGAAAUGCAUAGAUACCAUAAAGAACACCUAUUGCGAAGGCAGCUUACUAGCUGUAACUGACGCUGAGGCACGAAAGUGUGGGGAUCAAACAGG
rnacentral:rRNA from 1 species